rnacentral:rRNA from 1 species
UACAGAGGGUGCAAGCGUUGUUCGGAAUUAUUGGGCGUAAAGGGCGCGUAGGCGGUGCGGUAAGUCUGUAGUGAAAUCUCUGGGCUCAACUCAGAGUCUGCUAUAGAAACUGCCGUGCUAGAGUGUGGGAGAGGUGAGUGGAAUUCCCGGUGUAGCGGUGAAAUGCGUAGAUAUCAGGAGGAACACCUGUGGCGAAAGCGGCGCACUGGACCAUAACUGACGCUGAUGCGCGAAAGCUAGGGGAGCAAACAGG